rnacentral:rRNA from 1 species
AGCGAACGCUGGCGGCAGGCCUAACACAUGCAAGUCGAACGAUCCUUCGGGAUAGUGGCGGACGGGUGAGUAACACGUAGGAACGUGCCCUUUGGUUCGGAACAACUCAGGGAAACUUGAGCUAAUACCGAAUGUGCCCUUCGGGGGAAGGAUUUAUCGCCAUUGGAGCGGCCCGCGUCUGAUUAGCUAGUUGGUGAGGUAAUGGCUCACCAAGGCGACGAUCAGUAGCUGGUCUGAGAGGAUGAUCAGCCACACUGGGACGGAGACACGGCCCAGACUCCUACGGGAGGCAGCAGUGGGGAAUCUUGCGCAAUGGGCGAAAGCCUGACGCAGCCAUGCCGCGUGAAUGAUGAAGGUCUUAGGAUUGUAAAAUUCUUUCACCGGGGACGAUAAUGACGGUACCCGGAGAAGAAGCUCCGGCUAACUUCGUGCCAGCAGCCGCCGUAAGAC